UCGAUUAAACAAUAUGCGAAUAUGGCUAUCAAUGUGAGAGAAAUUAAUAUGAAAAGUUCGCACGAAAAAGUUUGAUAAACGGUUGAAAAAAAUUAAAUUGACCAAGAUGUAAAAAGAAUCAUGAAAUUGACUGAUUAAAUAUCAACGGGAUAAAAGAACUAAAGGGAAACAAUGAAAAUGGAUCGAUAAAGAUUAGGAAGAUGUUGCUUAAUGAAUGCACAUAAAAAACAUAUGUUGGAACACGGAUUACAAGAAUAAAGACGUUCAUAUAUCGUUACAAAUAUGAAGAAACGCCGACGACGUCUCUCCAUUUCAGUCGUCGUGCUUCUACUGGCGUUUAUUGUUGACACAAAAAUAUGAUAUAUUUUGUAUGAUUACUUAACGUCGAUAUAAUAUAUAUAGUAGCAAUUAAUAAUAUUUUAAAUAUUCUCUCGGCGCAACGUUGCACAAUAAAAAUCUAUGUCAUAAUUCAUAA